UCUAAUUAAGUGACACCUAAUCUAAAUAAUUUGGACUCUAAAUUAGAUUUGAAUUUCUAUCUAUUUGGAUCUAAUCAAUUUCUAAUAUAAUUAGAAUUAGUUAGACUUUUAAUUAAUUUAAUUUAGCCACCUAAAGAAGAGUCCAAUGUGCUUUAAACUCCUUCCUCUCCAUGCGCCAUAAAAACCCCACGCCCAACCAGAUUGGACGUCAUAUUUUUCCAUGCC
rnacentral:lncRNA from 1 species